GAGGAAUAUUGGGCAAUGCCCGCAAGGGUGACCCAGCAACGCCGCGUGGAGGAUGAAUGUCGUAAGAUUGUAAACUCCUGUUAGAGGGGAAGAAUAGUACCGGUUGGACCGGUAUAUGACUGUACCCUCAGAGAAAGCCCCGGCUAACUACGUGCCAGCAGCCGCGGUAAUACGUAGGGGGCAAGCGUUGUCCGGAUUUACUGGGUGUAAAGGGCGCGCAGGCGGGAUAAAAAGUCAGUGGUGAAAUCCUACAGCUUAACUGUAGAACUGCCUGUGAUACUUUUAUUCUUGAGUUCGGGAGAGAGAGACGGAAUUCCAGGUGUAGUGGUUAAAUACGUAGAUAUCUGGAAGAACACCAGUUGCGAAGGCGGUCUCUUGGUCCGACACUGACGCUGAGGCGCGAAAGCGUGGGGAGCAAACA
rnacentral:rRNA from 1 species